UAAGGGCGCACGGUGGAUGCCUUGGCACUAGAAGCCGAUGAAGGACGUUACUAACGACGAUAUGCUUUGGGGAGCUGUAAGUAAGCUUUGAUCCAGAGAUUUCCGAAUGGGGAAACCCAGCAUGAGUUAUGUCAUGUUAUCGAUAUGUGAAUACAUAGCAUAUCAGAAGGCACACCCGGAGAACUGAAACAUCUUAGUACCCGGAGGAAGAGAAAGAAAAUUCGAUUCCCUUAGUAGCGGCGAGCGAAACGGGAAGAGCCCAAACCAACAAGCUUGCUUGUUGGGGUUGUAGGACACUCUAUACGGAGUUACAAAGGACGACAUUAGACGAAUCAUCUGGAAAGAUGAAUCAAAGAAGGUAAUAAUCCUGUAGUCGAAAAUGUUGUCUCUCUUGAGUGGAUCCUGAGUACGACGGAGCACGUGAAAUUCCGUCGGAAUCUGGGAGGACCAUCUCCUAAGGCUAAAUACUCUCUAGUGACCGAUAGUGAACCAGUACCGUGAGGGAAAGGUGAAAAGCACCCCGGAAGGGGAGUGAAAUAGAACCUGAAACCGUGUGCUUACAAGUAGUCAGAGCCCGUUAAUGGGUGAUGGCGUGCCUUUUGUAGAAUGAACCGGCGAGUUACGAUUUGAUGCAAGGUUAAGCAGUAAAUGUGGAGCCGUAGCGAAAGCGAGUCUGAAUAGGGCGUUUAGUAUUUGGUCGUAGACCCGAAACCAGGUGAUCUACCCUUGGUCAGGUUGAAGUUCAGGUAACACUGAAUGGAGGACCGAACCGACUUACGUUGAAAAGUGAGCGGAUGAACUGAGGGUAGCGGAGAAAUUCCAAUCGAACCUGGAGAUAGCUGGUUCUCUCCGAAAUAGCUUUAGGGCUAGCCUCAAGUGAUGAUUAUUGGAGGUAGAGCACUGUUUGGACGAGGGGCCCCUCUCGGGUUACCGAAUUCAGACAAACUCCGAAUGCCAAUUAAUUUAACUUGGGAGUCAGAACAUGGGUGAUAAGGUCCGUGUUCGAAAGGGAAACAGCCCAGACCACCAGCUAAGGUCCCAAAAUAUAUGUUAAGUGGAAAAGGAUGUGGCGUUGCCCAGACAACUAGGAUGUUGGCUUAGAAGCAGCCAUCAUUUAAAGAGUGCGUAAUAGCUCACUAGUCGAGUGACACUGCGCCGAAAAUGUACCGGGGCUAAACAUAUUACCGAAGCUGUGGAUUGUCCUUUGGACAAUGGUAGGAGAGCGUUCUAAGGGCGUUGAAGCAUGAUCGUAAGGACAUGUGGAGCGCUUAGAAGUGAGAA
rnacentral:rRNA from 1 species